GCAGAUGCUACUCCCCUCUGCAGGAAACAAGACAAAUCUACACAGUUCUGAAGAAUCGAUAUUAGGUAAAAUGAAAACAAGCAGCUCAUAUGAACAAACUACAAACACACUGAGGAGUGAUGAAAUGCUGUAUAUAGAAACACAGCAGCAUAAUCCAGACAUACACUAGUGCGCUCUCUGUGCUGAGUUACAUCACUGCACCAAAAUAUACACUGCAUGACUAUUAAAACAUGAAUAAAUAUAAAAUGUGAAAACAAGUUCAGACAAAAACAUUUUAGGAAAAUCAACAACAAUGUAAGAAGUCAGCUUAUGUGAUGUUCUCUCAAAUUCUUCAGUUUUAUUGACAAUUCAAUUUUCAAGAUGACUUUGGGAAAUGAGUAAUGCAUCUAAAGAAAGAUAACAGCAGAAGUGAGGAAAUGAGUGAAACGUCUAUUAAGAAUUGCCCGACCUCAAAAACUAUUUUUACCUUGACAAAAUGACAUUCAAUCCAAUCAAUGUAUCAUAAAUUGGAUUUUCUGAGUAAGUAAGAAAUAGUAUGUGUAUACUAGUGCAAAUUACUAGAUUUUACAGUUAAGACAUUAAGUACAUUUAUGCAUUUAGCAGACAGUUUUAUCCAAAGUGACUUACAGUGCAUUCAGGACACACUUUUUUUUUUUUUAUCAGUAUGUGUGUUUCUUGGGAAUUGAACCCCCAACCGUUUGUGCUGCUAACACAAUGCUCUACCGCUGAGCCACAGAAAUACCAGUUCUUAAGUAAGUAGUUAACUUAAAAGUGUUUGUUAGAACAGCUGCUGGAUUUGACAGUGAAGUUACUCACAACUGAUUCAUUACAUGCUUGUUCUGAAAGGUGAGUCUGAAAGUAGUUGUUUUUAAAGCUGGUUUAAAUGACUGAACACACAUAAUAUGAAUGAAAAUUCAACUUAACACAACAACAAAAUACAAAUUCAACUUACUGAUAUAUACAUAUACAUCACCUUUUGUUUACAGUCAUAUGCCUAUAUGAUUUAUUGUGUGUUUACAUUAAAAAGCAAUGAAAAUGAAAAAUCCUCAUUUAAUCAGAAGCUUAUUUAAAUAGGUAUCAGCAAAAGCCAACACCCCCUUCUUUGCAUCGUCAGCACAUGCUUCAGUGCUCUGAGAGUGUUUAUAGUGCUGUGAGUUUAACACUUCAUGACUGAGAGCAGAACACAACACAAUCUUCAUCAUCACACAAGACAAAACAACUACAAUGAACAACAUCCUCAUCCUCAUCUGGACCAUUGCAGCACUUAUUGAAGAAUCCAGAGGAGUCACUUUGACUCAACCUGAAGUUAAAACUGUGAAACAGGGUCAAGCAGCUACAAUAGAGUGUAAUAUUGACAUCGGGAUACGCUACAGUCACAUGUACUGGUAUCAGAAGAAACCUGGAGAAGCUCCUAAACUCCUCAUAUAUCAGAUAAACACCCUCCAGUCAGGAACUCCAUCUAGAUUCAGUGGCAGUGGAACAGCAAAUACUGGAAGAGAUUUCACUCUCACCAUCAGUGGAGUCCAGACUGAAGAUACAGGAGAUUAUUACUGUCAGAGUUACCACUACGUCAACAGUAAAGAUGUUCACACAGUGAUAAAGAGUCAUACAAAAACCUCCAUCAGUCAGAUUCACAGUGACUGCACUGAUACAGCUGAGAGAUACUGCAGCUGCUGAAGGGAGGAUGACAAACAACACAAAGAUUUUUUUUUGUAGCAAAUUCAGCAUUAAACACUACAAGUCUCCGCUUUUUCAUCUUGAAACAAAAAAUACUUAUUUUCAAUUUUUUUUUACUCUCCCUGUUAAGUCUCAUGCAAAGCAGUAAACAGUUGAUUCAAACAUUCAGAAGGUCAGUAUGACUGCUGAGAGUCUCAGUGUGAACAAACCUCAUCUCUUCAUUAGUCCGACUCAACUGACUGCUUUCAGAGAAUAAAGAGUC